GUCGAGCGAGCAGAACCAGCAGAUUUACUUCGGUAAUGACGCUGGGGACGCGAGCGGCGGAUGGGUGAGUAACACGUGGGGAACCUGCCCCAUAGUCUGGGAUACCACUUGGAAACAGGUGCUAAUACCGGAUAAGAAAGCAGAUCGCAUGAUCAGCUUAUAAAAGGCGGCGUAAGCUGUCGCUAUGGGAUGGCCCCGCGGUGCAUUAGCUAGUUGGUAAGGUAACGGCUUACCAAGGCGAUGAUGCAUAGCCGAGUUGAGAGACUGAUCGGCCACAUUGGGACUGAGACACGGCCCAAACUCCUACGGGAGGCAGCAGUAGGGAAUCUUCCACAAUGGACGCAAGUCUGAUGGAGCAACGCCGCGUGAGUGAAGAAGGUUUUCGGAUCGUAAAGCUCUGUUGUUGGUGAAGAAGGAUAGAGGUAGUAACUGGCCUUUAUUUGACGGUAAUCAACCAGAAAGUCACGGCUAACUACGUGCCAGCAGCCGCGGUAAUACGUAGGUGGCAAGCGUUGUCCGGAUUUAUUGGGCGUAAAGCGAGCGCAGGCGGAAAAAUAAGUCUGAUGUGAAAGCCCUCGGCUUAACCGAGGAACUGCAUCGGAAACUGUUUUUCUUGAGUGCAGAAGAGGAGAGUGGAACUCCAUGUGUAGCG
rnacentral:rRNA from 1 species